rnacentral:rRNA from 1 species
ACUACACUCCUACGGGAGGCAGCAGUGGGGAAUUUUGGACAAUGGGCGAAAGCCUGAUCCAGCAAUGCCGCGUGAGUGAAGAAGGCCUUCGGGUUGUAAAGCUCUUUUGUCAGGGAAGAAACGGUGAGAGCUAAUAACUUUUGCUAAUGACGGUACCUGAAGAAUAAGCACCGGCUAACUACGUGCCAGCAGCCGCGGUAAUACGUAGGGUGCAAGCGUUAAUCGGAAUUACUGGGCGUAAAGCGUGCGCAGGCGGUUUUGUAAGUCUGAUGUGAAAUCCCCGGGCUCAACCUGGGAAUUGCAUUGGAGACUGCAAGGCUAGAAUCUGGCAGAGGGGGGUAGAAUUCCACGUGUAGCAGUGAAAUGCGUAGAUAUGUGGAGGAACACCGAUGGCGAAGGCAGCCCCCUGGGUCAAGAUUGACGCUCAUGCACGAAAGCGUGGGGAGCAAACAGGGUUAGAAACCCCAGUAGUCCCAUGA